NUCUGGGAGGAUUGACAGAUUGAGAGCUCUUUCUUGAUUCGGUGGAUGGUGGUGCAUGGCCGUUCUCAGUUGGUGGAGCGAUUUGUCUGGUUAAUACGAGACUUUAGCCUAAUAAAUAGGUGCGUGGUUCUCUGCUCCUUGCACCCUUCUUAGAGGGACAAGCGGCUCCUAGCUGCACGAAACAGAGCAAUAACAGGUCUGUGAUGUCCUUUGAU
rnacentral:rRNA from 1 species